rnacentral:rRNA from 1 species
AGUGAACGCUGGCGGUAGGCCUAACACAUGCAAGUCGAACGGCCGCACAGUAAGAGCUUGCUCUUACGGGUGGCGAGUGGCGGACGGGUGAGGAAUACAUCGGAAUCUACUUUUUCGUGGGGGAUAACGUAGGGAAACUUACGCUAAUACCGCAUACGACCUACGGGUGAAAGCAGGGGAUCUUCGGACCUUGCGCGAUUGAAUGAGCCGAUGUCGGAUUAGCUAGUUGGCGGGGUAAAGGCCCACCAAGGCGACGAUCCGUAGCUGGUCUGAGAGGAUGAUCAGCCACACUGGCACUGGGACACGGUCCAGACUCCUACGGGAGGGAGCAGUGGGGAAUAUUGGACAAUGGGCGCAAGCCUGAUCCAGCCAUACCGCGUGGGUGAAGAAGGCCUUCGGGUUGUAAAGCCCUUUUGUUGGGAAAGAAAAGCAGCAGGUUAAUACCCCGCUGUUCUGACGGUACCCAAAGAAUAAGCACCGGCUAACUUCGUG